GACGAACGCUGGCGGCGUGCUUAACACAUGCAAGUCGAACGGAAAGGCCCUGCUUUUGUGGGGUGCUCGAGUGGCGAGCGGGUGAGUAACACGUGAGUAACCUGCCCUUGACUUUGGGAUAACUUCAGGAAACUGGGGCUAAUACCGGAUAGGAGCUCCUGCUGCAUGGUGGGGGUUGGAAAGUUUCGGCGGUUGGGGAUGGACUCGCGGCUUAUCAGCUUGUUGGUGGGGUAGUGGCUUACCAAGGCUUUGACGGGUAGCCGGCCUGAGAGGGUGACCGGCAACCUUGGGAAGGGGAACCGGCCCAGGCCCCCAAGGGGGGCAGGCGGGGGGAAUAUGGCCCAAGGGGGGGAGGCCUGAUCCAGCAACCCCGCGUGCGGGAGGCCGGCCUUCGGGUUGAAAACCGCUUUCGCCUGGGACGAAGCGUGAGGGACGGUAAUGGGUAAAGAAGCACCGCCUAACUACGU
rnacentral:rRNA from 1 species